CCAUUUAAAUACAAUCCUACCAAAAUUAUGCUCAAACAGCGAGUCAAUACAGUCAAAGUCUACUUACAAUAGGGUCGCAAAUCUCUCUUGUCUCUCUCACUAGCGCCGGCUCAAAUUCAUUUUCAAGCUCGUCAGGAAAGCAACUAUGACAUCAAGAAUUGCUGCUAGAUAUGUAUCUCGAAGGCUUUCAAGUAGUGGAAAAAUACUUAGCGAGGAGGAAAAGGCUGCUGAAAACAUCUACAUCAAGAAAAUGGAAAAGGAGAAGUUGGAGAAGUUAGCGCGUAAGAAUACUAAACCAGGAGAAGCCCCAGCAGCAAGCUCAGGAUCUGUAUCUGAUGCAAAACCUAGCAAGUAGUGCAAGAACUAGGAAUUGUCAGAGUGUUUGGUACUGUUCAGCUGCCUUAAGUGGCCGCAUGCAAUGUAAAACAUGCUUGUUCUUGGUUGAGAUUUCUUUUUUCUUUUUUGGGUUGAUGAUAAUAAUAAAUAUUCGAACUUAUGUAUCUUUUAUUUGAUUGUAUUGCUUUGUAAACUUGUUAACCAGUGCUUACAUUUGAUGUGA